ACAGCCCGCGCUUCCUGUCCCCGUGACGACAUGGCGGCGGUGCGGGUGGCGGUGGCAGCAUGUGGUCCACCAAGGGGAAAAAUACCCUUUACACUCACCUUCCCAGGAGGCUGAGUCUUUCACUGGGCUGGCAGUAGGUCUGUAUCAGCAGCACAAAGGAGGAAAACAUCGUGCAGAACCCUGGGCUUAUAUCGUCCCCCAGAGACAGCUUUGGCGAGAAGGCAGCUGUGAAGUUGGACCUCAAAGUGUACUCGUGUCUGUUUGUAGAAGAUCAGUUCUGUUCACUGAUGGGCUGGACCAGCAGACUUGACGACAGCAUACUUCCGUAGGAAAUAAAGGACCUGAUCUGCAGCUGGCUGGAGGAAGGAGCAAGUGGUUCCUGCAGUCUGCUGCUUCAGAAUAAAACGAAUCAU
rnacentral:lncRNA from 7 species